ACAUGCCUACAUCAUAGCAUUAAUGCAAUGAAACCCAUUAGAACUCCGCAGUUAAGCGCGCUCAGGAUAGAGUAGUAUUGGGAUGGUUGACCAUGCAGGAAGUCCUAGUAUUUUACAUUCC
rnacentral:rRNA from 1 species